rfam:Triticum aestivum genome assembly, contig: Triticum_aestivum_CS42_TGACv1_scaffold_306551_4AS
UAGGUACUCCUUCCAUCCGAAAUUACUUGUCGCGGAAUGAAUAAAAAUGAAUAUAUUUAGAACUAAAAUACAUCUAGAUACAUUCAUUCCUGUGACAAAUAAUUCCAGAUGAAGGAAGUAGUAU